rnacentral:rRNA from 1 species
UACGAAGGGGGCUGGCGUUGUUCGGAAUUACUGGGCGUAAAGCGCACGUAGGCGGGUCGUUAAGUCAGGGGUGAAAUCCCGGAGCUCAACUCCGGAACUGCCUUUGAUACUGGCGAUCUUGAGAUCGGAAGAGGUGAGUGGAAUUCCCAGUGUAGAGGUGAAAUUCGUAGAUAUUGGGAAGAACACCAGUGGCGAAGGCGGCUCACUGGUCCGAUACUGACGCUGAGGUGCGAAAGCGUGGGGAGCAAACAGG